GACGAACGCUGGCGGCGUGCUUAACACAUGCAAGUCGAACGGAGUGGCGAACGGGUGAGUAACCAGUGGGAACGUGCCUUUAGGUUCGGAAUAACUCAGGGAAACUUGUGCUAAUACCGCAUGCCUUUAGAGCGGCCCGCGACUGAUUAGCUAGUUGGUGAGGGAAAGGCUCACCAAGGCGACGAUCAGUAGCUGGUAUGGGAGGAUGAUCAGCCACAUUGGGACUGAGACAAGGCCCAAACUCCGACGGGAGGAAGCAGUGGGGAAUCUUGCGCAAUGGGCGAAAGCCUGACGCAGCCAUGCCGCGUGAAUGAUGAAGGUCUUAGGAUUGUAAAAUUCUUUCACCGGGGACGCGGUACCAGGAGAAGAAGCCCCGGCUAACUUCGUGCCAGCAGCCGCGGUAAUAC
rnacentral:rRNA from 1 species